rnacentral:lncRNA from 1 species
ACUUUUGACAUUACAGCCACCUGUGGGUGAUGCGUAACUCGUAGAGAGGAGGAAGAGUAGGAGGUGGAGAUAAGGAAGAUGAUGUAAUUGCGGAGUUAUCAUGCUGCGUAGAAAAGUAUCUUUUCAGACGCCAGAGAAUGUCCACAAACGCGUCUUGUAGAACGCGCAAUGUGGCAAACUAGCGUGCAGAGUGCGCGAGUGUCGCUUGGUGCCUCAACACACCGCGUGCGGUGAGGCGAGGGACGUCAUGUCAGUGUUCAGUGAUAACCCUCACGAGCCGGUAUCGCGCCUCUACGCCGAAAUUUUCAGCUCAGCAAUUUCUUAGUUCAAGUGAUAAUAUAUAUAUAAUACAUAUAUAUAUAUAUAAAGUCGCAUGCCAAGUGAUAAAAAUGAGUAAAUUUUCUCAAAACCAGAAUCGGAUGGACAAAUAUCGGGUGCCGAAACUCUUCCAAAUCAUGGGCCUCGAGGCAUUACGGGAGGUUCGACGACAUUCCGAACUGGCCUUGAUCAAGUCCGGCGAUUUGAAGCUCAAGUUCUCCAUGCAACCGACUUCAGUAGAAGAGGCCAUCAACAAAUACGAGGAAGUUCUGUCCUUCCUCCAAGAGAUGGAACAUCAGUUGAAAUUGAGGACAACUUUGAUGAAAAAGAACGCAGAAAUAUACCUAAAACUCGGAAAUGAACAGCCAGUAUCUCAGAUUUUGGACUCAAGUGUCAAACCCAGCUCACUAUCUGCCAUGCGCAUGGUACGUGUGCGGUACAGCACGGAGGAUGAGGGCUUCAAAUCUUCCACUCAAGAAAUCGGUGAUGCCGAAGAUCUUGGAGACGCUUCAGAUGCAGAAGUGUCCUCGCAUUCAGCUGGAGAUUCGUCAGAUUCAGAAAUGUCCUCAAAACCAGACGGAGACCCUCCAGACUCAGAAGUAUCCUUGAAUCCAGUCGGAGACCCUCCCGAUUCAGGAGUGCCCUUGGAUCCAGUCGGAGACAUUCCAAAUUCAGGAGUGCGCUCGAAUUUAGUUGGAGACUCCCAAGAUUCAGAAAUGCCCUCGAAUUCAGUCGGAGACUCCCCAGACUCAGAAAUGCCAUUGAAUUUAGUCGGAGACUCCCCAGACUCAGAAAUGCCCUCGAAUUUAGUCAGAGACUCCCCAGAUUCAGAAAUGCCAUCGAAUAUAGUCGGAGACUCUCCAGACUCCCCAGAUUCAGAAAUGCCAUCGAAUUUAGUCGGAGACUCUCCAGACUUCCCAGAUUCAGAAAUGCCAUUGAAUUUAGUUGGAGACUCUCCAGCUUCAGAAAUGCCUUCGAAUAUCGUUGGAAACUCCCCAGGUUCAGAAGCGUCCUCGAAUUCAGAUGGAGACUCUUCAGAUUCAGAAAUGAUCUCGAAUCCAGUCGGAGACUCUUCAGAUUCAGGAAUGUCCUCGAAUACAGUCAAAAAACGGAAGUACGACAGCACGUCAUCCGGAGAGCAAACAGCAGUGCCCAGCGAGGGCUGGGAAUCGGAACCGGAGCCGAGAAGAUAAUUAAAAUUAAAAGAUACACCAAAAAAGUAGACUUGAUCGAACUAGGGGAACCGCACUACUGAAACCUUGUUACGAGGUGCCUAUAAACGCGAACUCUCACCCUCGCUCGAAUCAGAUUCCCGACAAUCGAUCCGUCCGUAUUGAAAUCUCGGAGGAGUCGGAAGAGGAAGUCGAGAGCAAGAAACCGACCGGUCGGAGGAACAUUCGGAAGAUCAUGUCCCCGAGGAAUUGGCCAUCGAGUCCAGACGCGCAGAACGCGAUGAGGAGGAGCGAAGAAUGCGACUUGCCGAGCGACAGGAAGCACUCGCAGAGUUGCACCGAGAACGAACGACCCAAGUAUUGGACAUCGACAAGGCGACGAAGGAAAUCAGGGUCCAAGUCGACCGGCUCUCGUCCGGCACAUGAGCGAACACCAGAAGGACGGCGUGAGGUUUAUGUGGAACGCCUGUUUCGAGUCCGUCGAGCAGGUCAAGUCCACGCCUGGUUCGGGUUGCAUCGUCGCCCAUAGUAUGGGGCUCGGAAAAUCUCUCCAGAUCGUAGCUCUGGCCCAUACCGUCAUCAAACACCCAUCUUGAACCUGAACAAGAUCCUGAUCGUGUGCCCGAAAUCGGUGAAGCUGAAGUGGGGCGACAAGUUCGCGGGGUGGCAGGCGAGCGUCAGAGAAAAAAUUGACGUUUUUGAUUUGACUUCCUAUGAGGACGUCGAGACGAGGGAGCGGCGCUUGCGGAGGU